UACGUAGGUGGCUAGCGUUGUCCGGAUUUACUGGGCGUAAAGAGCGCGCAGGCGGUCGUUCAAGUCGAGUGUGAAAGCCCCCGGCUCAACUGGGGAGGGUCACUCGAUACUGAUCGACUUGAAGGCAGGAGAGGGAAGCGGAAUUCCCGGUGUAGUGGUGAAAUGCGUAGAUAUCGGAAGGAACACCAGUGGCGAAAGCGGCUUCCUGGUCCAGCACCGACGUUCAGGCACGAAAGCGUGGGGAGCAAACAGG
rnacentral:rRNA from 1 species